UAAUGGCUCACCAAGGCGACGAUCGGUAGCUGGUCUGAGAGGAUGACCAGCCUCACUGGUACUGAGACACGGCCCAUACUCCUACGGGAGGCAGCGGUGGGGAAUAUUGGACAAUGGGCGCAAGCCUGAUCCAGCCCUGCCGGGUGGAUGAUGAAGGCCCUAGGGUUGUAAAGUCUUUUUAACGGGGAAGAUAAUGACGGUCCCCGUAGAAUAAGCCCCUGCUAUCUUCCUGCCAGCAGCCGCGGUAAUACGAAGGGGGCUAGCGUUGCUCGGAAUUACUGGGCGUAAAGCGCCGUCGGCGUCUUCUUAGUCGGUGGGAAAUGCUGGAGCUCACUCAGAACUGCCUUCAUCUGGGACCUCGGUUCGGGGGGGGGGGUGAACUGCGAGUGUAGGGUGAAUUCGUAU
rnacentral:rRNA from 1 species